rnacentral:rRNA from 1 species
AAUGAACGUUGGCGGCGUGGAUUAGGCAUGCAAGUCGAGCGAGAACCCCGCAAGGGGGGACAGCGGCAAACGGGGUAGUAAUGUGUCGGAACGUGCCCUCUGGACGGGGAUAGCGGCGGGAAACUGCCGGUAAUACCCGAUGAACUCGAGAGAGCAAAGGUGUGAUUCCGCCGGAGGAGCGGCCGACAUGGUAUUAGCUAGUUGGCGGGGUAACGGCCCACCAAGGCUGUGAUGCCUAGGGGAUGUGAGAGCAUGAUCCCCACCAUUGGGACUGAGACACUGCCCAGACACCUACGGGUGGCUGCAGUCGAGAAUCUUCGUCAAUGGGCGAAAGCCUGAACGAGCGACGCCGCGUGUGGGAUGAAGGCCUUUGGGUUGUAAACCACUGUCGAGGGGGAUGAAGGCUCAGUCGUCAUCGGUUGAGUUUGACAGAGCCCUGGAGGAAGCACGGGCUAAGUUCGUGCCAGCAGCCGCCGCAGUAA